GCUGGAAUCGCUAGUAAUCGCGAAUCAGAAUGUCGCGGUGAAUACGUUCCCGGGUCUUGUACACACCGCCCGUCACACCAUGGGAGUCGGAAAUGCCCGAAGUCAGUGACCCAACCGCAAGGAGGGAGCUGCCGAAGGUGGAGCCGGUAACUGGGGUGAAGUCGUAACAAGGUACC
rnacentral:rRNA from 1 species